rnacentral:lncRNA from 1 species
UUUGAUCUCUUCUUCCUUGUUCUCUAGAUCUAGAUGUCGCAAUAAGAUCUGAGAUCUGUGAAGAUGCGAGGAAAGCUUUAUCGACUUAAGGGUUCUUCCGCAUAGGUCACAAGGACAAUCAAAUCGAACCCACAAACACUAAUCCCUGACCUGAACUGUUGCAUUCGGUAGUAACAACAAUUAAAAACAACAAAUUGAUUCAAUUCAAUCGAAGAAGAAGCAGAUUAAGAAAAAAAAACAAAAAAGGAAAAUAAAUUUAACUAGUUAUCAGGUGGAAUCGAACCCACCAACCCCCUUUCACAAAAGUCACGUUUUGCCAUCUGACCAAAAUCAUUAUUGGCUAUUAAAUGAUACCAAUAGUUUAUAUACUUUUAAACAUCUGAAGUUAAAAUUUAACUCUGUUAU